GACAGAGGGUGCAAGCGUUGUUCGGAAUUAUUGGGCGUAAAGCGCGCGUAGGCGGCCAUGCAAGUCGGAUGUGAAAUCCCAGGGCUCAACCUUGGACGUGCAUCCGAAACUGCCUGGCUUGAGUCCCGGAGAGGGUGGUGGAAUUCCCAGUGUAGAGGUGAAAUUCGUAGAUAUUGGGAGGAACACCGGUGGCGAAGGCGGCCACCUGGACGGUGACUGACGCUGAGGUGCGAAAGCGUGGGUAGCAAACAGG
rnacentral:misc_RNA from 1 species